rnacentral:lncRNA from 1 species
GGGGCACUUAGUUUCCUAUUGAUUUUUCAGGGGAGAGCUGCCAAGGAGAGUUGCCUGAUUUGAGUGGAAUUAUGACAGGUUUUCUUCGUUAAGCCGCUGAGAUUGUUUCAAAAGCUGGUAACAAUCGUCCUGACUAAUAUACUAGCCUUUGACAAAUGUUUUAUCAACAACCACUUGAAACCAGAUUCAGAUUCAAGCUCUGUCUAGGAUUAAUGACCCAAGCCUGCACAGGAAUCAUAAAACUGAAUAUUGAGCUUGGGUACAGACUCUUGGAUGAGAACUGAACCUGAGGACAUGCUAAAAACAGGAGGGCACUCUAAACUGUCUGGUCUGGUGGAUCAUCAAAGCAGUGAGGGAAGGAGGAUGAUCUCAGCUGCAGGACUUUCUCCUCUCAAGAAACCUGGAACUUCGAGGGAGAUGGCAUGGCCUCCGAGCCAUCAGACUCCUCUACGCCAAGCAGAAAAAAGAACACUUUGAGAGUCUAUAUAUUCAUAUAUUUUCACUCUAUUCAGCAAACACGCACUGAGCGCCUCUUCUUGCAUCAUGUGCUCUGCGCAUGUGCGCGUGGGGGCGCACGCACGUGCGUGUGUGCGCACACAGACGCCAGAAUCAUUUUCUUUCUCAAAGACGGGUUAAAUCUUUUUAAAACCCCAGAGAAGAUAUUCCCAGAGUUUGGUUAUCCUGAAAUUGAUUUUUCCAGACUCUAGUUGUAUAAUAAAGAACACAUCAGGCCCUGGAGACAUUUUUGUCUAUAUCAGCCGGUACCGAAGCUAAUUAAUACACAGGAGAGUAUUUCUUCUUUGGGAAAAUAUCAGCCCAUUAGUGCAGAUUAUAAGGGAGGACCUCUGUGAGCAUCCAAGUGUGAACUAUUGAGAAGUUGAAGAGUGGAAAAACGUAAAUAAUGGAGGAAGUUUGCAAAGCAAAAGGGAAUAGGGAUUUCCCAGGAAUAAGUAAGCUGUGUUCCCUGCUGAACAGUGUGGUUCCCGCCAGGGCUGCAGAGAGAGGGUACACCAGCCCCUGUGCUUGUGGCCUUGCCCGGAGCAAUGGCUCUUUCUUGUCAGCUAGCUGGCUGCCAAGCUCAACCAGAGAGUGUGCUCAUUUCCAAAGACAAUGCCUUGCUGGGGCUGGAAUCAAAGCUGUCAGUAGUAAAGGACUCUUUCUUCUUUCUUUUCUCUCUUCUUGUACAUUCACUGGGGAUUCACUCAUGACCAACAACAGACAGAGGUCCUGUAACAGUCUGUAAAACUCAUAAAAGAUGGUUUUCAGGUCUUCACUGUCUAAAAAUGGCAUGCAUUAUUGAUUUCAAUAUUGGCUUUAGGACUGGAGAUUAGUUACAAUAACUUUCUUACCUGUCUGUUGAGUCUAUAGUUUUCUCCCCCUGCAGGAUGACAAGUUUAUAUUCAAAACACUUGUUUGCAGAACUAGGGAAACCCCGAAUUUUUGCUGGGAAAUGUAUUAGAAGCUCCUAGAAGUUAUGCAUCAAUUGUAACAGUGAAGUAGCCCCACAAGUUAUAAAAUGCAAAAGCUUUUUAAAAAAAUUGAGCCAGCAGUAUUUCAUUGGUCAGGAAUCUGUUAGUUGAAAGCAAUAGCAAGCCAACUAAUGUGGCCUAAACCAAAAGAUAUAUUUAUUGGGAAAUCAAGGAAUAGAAAAUGCCACCAGGUAUGUCUGGAUCCAGGAGUCCAAAUUACAUAAUCAGGGCUUAGUCCUCUUUCUAUAGCUCCACUUUUCUUUGUUGUCUAUUGCCUUUAUUACUAGACACGCGGUGACCUCUGUGGCUCAGGCUUGCACAUCUUUAUAGCUAUCAAAUGCAGCUUGUAGUCUUUGUGGGCCCUAGGGUCAUUGGACUAACUUAGAUGGCAUCAUCAAUCUCUGAACCAAUCACUGUGGUUAGGAGGAUGGAAUAUGCUCAUUCUCCAGGCCUGCCCUUGAGAAUGACUACCCUUGAGAAUGAAUGUGGGUAUGAGGUUAGCUGAUCAGUGCCACACAAAUCACAUAGACAGAAGAUCCAGGAGAGAUUAUUCCCCAGAGGAAAACCAGGUUGUCACUUUCAAAAGAUGGAAAGAUGGACAGUGGGCAGACAAAAGCAGGCAAUGUGUAUUACUAGUAUCAUAGAACAUCUAAGCACCCUUCCUUACAGAGCAUCUGUCCCCCUCUUGCCCUCGCCAAUGAGGCUUGAGCCACUAGGCCUUCUUUUAGGGUCUUGAAUACACUGAGCUUCAUGCCCCUUAAAGUUCUCCUCACU